CUAGUGCAUACGUCGUCGUGGAGGGAAGAUAUACGUAUCUACGUCUCCGCGUUUCCACCAUUGUAAAAACACAAAAUGCUUGUCGCUCUAUCUAAACCUUCAAAAGAGAGUUUAAUAUCCUAAGACAACACUGAACAAACAGUAUUUUUCUAAAUUAUUUUAUAUUUUUGACAAGAACAUAGAAAAACGCAUCUAUAAAUGAAGAAACAUUAUGGGAGGAAAUAGUAGUAAUGAAUAUA